UGGGCCUCUUCAUAAUGUGCCCUUCAAGUUGGGCUUCUCCACACUUGAAUUUUCACUAUUGUGGGUCAAAUUUGAAAUGCCAAAUCCAAUAAAAUCCUAACCACCCUGGCUUUUGAUACUUAAAUAGGGAUAAGAUGGGAUGUCCCAAGUGAUGAGAUCACUUGUGGAUGCCCCAAAAGAUGGAGUUUGGCAUGGAGAACGGAUGGAUGCCUAAGGCUUGUGGCAUGACGUUGUUCAUCGUGAGAAAAAAUGGGUGCCUCCUCUUCCUAUCUCUUCUUUUUUACAACCAAAGAUUGGCUGUUAGAGGUAACUCCCUAUCUUUUGUGUCCAAUAGUUGG
rnacentral:lncRNA from 1 species